CCCGCCCCAGGGGCGCGUGAGCCACCCCCUGAGGGCCCGGCUGAGGGUCCCCUCCUUCCUGGUGCCGAGUGAGGAAUCCCCUGAAGGACCCCAGUAAAGGACACCUGGAGGUGCCCUCGGGAGGGGCCGCGGGAAUUACUCCACAAGUUCCUGAGGAACCCCUCGGGAGAGGGGAACCCCAUGAGAGCCCAUGCGAGGAUUCCGCUGAGGAACCCUCUCAGGGACCGCGUGAGGGACACCGUGUGAGGCACCCCCUGAGAAGCCCCUCUAAGGGAUACCGUGACGGAGCCCGGUGAGGGACCCGGGUGGCAUAGGAGUGGGGCAUUUUAGAACCAGUUCUGCACUUACAUUAAUGUCGGCAUCUCCUUCUUUUGAGAGGGUGGGCACAAAGGAGCCACCCUGUUGACAAAGAGAACUCCAGGACAAAAGACAGCCGCACUACAGGAGGAAAAAAUUGUCAAGACUGUUCCAUGUCUGAGCCUGAUACUGAUCCUGCAGAGCCCUGCUUAAACACCUAUCUAAGAAGGAUGCUAGUGAGAUUUAACCUGUCUAGUACAUGCUCUUCUAAUGGUCUGGGAGACAGUUAACACAUACUGACAGAUGGCAAAGGAUGGAGAAGCAACAGACGUUUUCUGCUAAAGGGCCUGCCUACAACUCACACCAUACCUGGAACAGAAACUACCAGACAGAGACAAGUAUCACAUGCAGUUGAUAGAAAAUACUAUUGAGUCAAGAAACCAACACCACGCUAUUUGGUCACAAGCCACUGAAAGACAUGUGAAUGGAGACAUCAACUACAGGCAUCAAAGGUUUAUUUACACUGAGUUUCAGUCACUGUUCACUGGACUUUGAGUAGAGCUACAAACUGGAGGAGACUCUCAUUUCCUACAUGUGAUCAGAAAUGAGCUCUCACCUCCUCACAUAUGCAAAGCCAGAAGACACAUUAACUUGCAAAGCAAGGGGAAAUAAUUUUCCUCAUAAACAGUUCACAUUCACAGACAGAGGAGGAACUUCCCAUUGUAGUCUCACCACAAUCCUAGGACGACAAGACCAGGCUGUAAUUGUAUGAGAUGCACAGAAUAGACAUAGGAUCUCUUGAAACAAGUUCAAAGUCUGUAAUAGGAAAUGAGAGCUGGGCAGCCAAGGCAACACAGCAAUCUGCUGAAGAGAGAAAAGGUUUCAGCCAGCAUUCAGAAACCAACCCAAGCAUGCCUUGGAAAAGCUGCCUCAGAAAUCAGGACAGAGCAUUCAGAAAGGAAGUUUUUAAACACAAAUACAUCUACAGGGCUUGCCUGGAAAAAGAAAAAAGAAAACAAACUAGAUUCCAAGCAAAUAUAUUCUCAAGCAACUGGAAAUGAAUUAGCUUCUUGAAUUUAGGGAAUGAUUUACAGCUCUUAUAGUUUUUCAUCUUUAACUUUGCAAUUAGCGAAAGGAUUAUAUCUUGAACAUGUACAUGUAAUUAACAGAGAAAAGAAGCUGAAAAAUUAUUACAGAAACUACUUUUUAGAUGCUACUUUUAUUCUUUAUAAUUUCCUGAAAUAGUAGAGAGGGGGAAAAAAAACAACAAUCAAAACACAGGAAUCUUGUGUUCUAUGUUUUUGUCUGCCAUAAGCUUGUCUCAUGAGUUUCUCUAUGAAGCCUGAACAGAAGACUGUAGAUUACAGACCAUAUCUUCUUCUGAGACAGUUUCUUUUAUAUAUUUUCACAGCAUCAGUUUUUGGUAAUUUAGAUACCUAUCAGAACAGACUCUAAAUGUCUGCACCCCUCCAAAGUUCCCUGCUCAUCCAUUUGAAUUACAAAUUCAAAACAUUAAGGAGCCCAUUGCAUGCAAGGUCUAGGAAAUUCUUGCAAACAGGAAUCCUGGCUCUGCAAAGACCAGGUGAAAAGUCUGGGCAAUUUCAUUUGAAAUUUUAGAUGCUUGAAUGCUUGCAAUAGUUCCCAUAUUUUUAAAUCAACCAGAAAAAGCACACACCUUUACAGAACACAAAUAUCUGAAAUAUUUGAUUUACAGACACUCAACUAUGAGCGCCAUGGUCCACUGGAGAAGAAUAAAGUUAUUUCACUUCCUAGAAUAGUUUUAAAGAUAAAAAGUUACUCCAUAUAAUUGAACAAAUUAUAAUCUUCACCAAAAAAAGACUAAUUGACAAAAAAAAAAAUCCAUAUUUUCUUCAGUAUUUUUAUAGUAACUAGUACUGCCAAGUGAUUAAACCCAAACUUCCUCCUCUAUGACAAGAGUGUACUUUAGUUUUGUCAUUAAGAACACUGAAUCCUCCUGGCACUGCACAGUGAAGGGUAAUUUAUAAAUUAAAUGCUAAAAGCACUCAGUGCCACAGUCAAGCCCUGAUUAAAAUAACUGCUAUAGUUUAUAUUUUACUCUUGCAUUAACUUUAAUUAAGUGCAACUCCAAUGCAACAAACGUCACUGAAGUCAACCAAGGUGUUUUUGAUUUACUCCCAACUUGAAUACCACAACUUCAGCAUAUGAGAAUCAGCAAAGGCAUUUUUCUUUAAUAGGUCACUCAUUCAGGAGAUGAGAGAGAAAAAUCUCAUAAUUAGAGUGUAGAGUUUAACGCUUUACUUGUUCAAAUGUGAGCACAAAGCAAACAAGGCACAGCUAUUACAGCAGUCAUAAUUCAUGUAUGAUCUUUCACAAUGCUUCACGGACUUCUUUUCCAAUCACUCUAUUUUGCUCAAUGACAGAGAAGGUCUGUCUCUAACAUUAAGUCUGGCUGUGGACAAACACCCUUGAUUGCACCACAUGCAAAGGGAGCAACAAUACUCCUGAAUCUCUCUUCAGCUUCACAAUUGUUUGGUUCCAAACAAUCUUCUGCAAGGUUGUGUUACCAACCCACUUGCCCAUUUAUCUUCACUGCAGAUGCGCCCGAGCAACAAAAGUUACAGAACACAGCAAAAACGUGGCAACUCUAUAAAACACAGUUAUCUCGCUAGAGUAAGCAAGAUUUUUGGGAAAUUGUGUUUCAGCAGGAGUUUGUCUCCCGUAAGCAGCUCUACAACCACAACCAGUGCUGGCUGCUGACUGGCUGAAGAGAUGAACGUAUGUGGAGAAAGUAGGCAGAGAGAUUCUAUUUUGAGCUUAUUGCUGUUAAAAGACUGCUGUGUUUAUACAUUUUGGCCCUGCUCCUUAAGAGCUGCUGCAUAAAAGCCUCCCCCUGUGCAACUGUGAAUAAUAACAGAACAUCUCAUAAUGUUUCAUCAGAAAUGGAAAAUAGCAGCCCACUGACUCUUGCUGGUCAGACCACUAAGCAUGGCUUCAGCACAGAAAGAUCUUGAGGCAAAGAAGCAACUGCAGCAACCGAUACUCUCUGAGAUUUAAGAGCUGCUACAUCUAUGCAUUCAUUCCUUGUAACCCUCAAUUCCCUUCUGUGGCACCAACUAACCUGCAAUUUAGGAUUUUGCACUAAUUCAAUCAACUCCUUGCAUAAAAUUGCAACCUCAGCCAAUGAACUCUUGGGCUACUACCUCUGAUGGUGAAUAUUACCCAUGAAAUAUAAUCUCCUCCAUUUACUAAUCCCACAGGACACCAUUUUAAUAUUCUCCUGAAAGGUUUCAAAGCAUGACUUCCAGAACCUGAAGAGCUCUCAGUUUUUGUAAGCAUGUAAAGAAUAAAACAGAGAAGCUAUUCAAACACUGGAAAGAGUUUUAGAGUGAAGAAUUAUGAAGUCAACAAGCAACAAUGAAGAUCUAAAGUCCUUUUUUAUUUUUUUUUUUAAGCUCAGAACAUUUCUGGCUGCUCUGACAAAUACUGCAGUUUAACCCCAGUUUUAGAACAACUUUUAAAAGCCAUCAGCACAGAACCGUAUGUAAAACCAAACUCUGUAAGAUUGAGUGUAACAGAAAAAAGGAACCUUAGCAGUAAGUUUGGCCAAGCACUGACUGCAACCGUUGGAGACGCUAAUAUCUGUCCAUUAGCUUCUCAUCUGCAGGACAAAAGGAAAGAUCCAAUCCCACUGUUGCUCUUCAGCCCGCGACCAGGUGUAAAUCGCUCUGUAACAUCUCACUGAUGCUUCCAGAGGUGCCUCGCUGGGGCUUACAGUGCCACAUA